AUUUAUUGCAGAAUGCGGAAAAAACGAAGAGUUGGGAUGUGUGCACUCAUGUCCCCCUCAAAAGUCUUGUAGCGAUCGUGACAUACAAAUAGCUUGUCCAGAUGAAUAUACUGAAUGUGAAGACACUUGUGUUUGCAAGCCUGGAUUUAUUAGGAAUGAUAAUAAUGACUGUAUUACUGAGGAUCAGUGUGACAAAUGUACGAAAGAGAAUGAAUUCUAUGACUGUGGCGAAUUAUGUGAUAACGUUUGUGCGACGUUGUCUGAGCGAAACAGAACCCACUGUGAUCUGUGGAACUACAAAUGUAUCCGCCAGUGUUACUGCAAGGAUGGCUACGCAAGAGACGAUAACAGAAAUUGUAUACCUAUUGACAAAUGCCCUGAAACGCCAAAAUAUGAAGAGUAGUAAUAAAAUAAUGUGUCUGU
rnacentral:sRNA from 1 species